UACAGAGGUCCCAAGCGUUGUUCGGAUUCACUGGGCGUAAAGGGUGCGUAGGUGGUCAGGUAAGUCUGAUGUGAAAGCUCUGGGCUCAACCCAGAAAUGGCAUUGGAUACUAUCUGGCUAGAGGAAUGGAGGGGGGACUGGAAUACUUGGUGUAGCAGUGAAAUGCGUAGAUAUCAAGUGGAACACCAGUGGCGAAGGCGAGUCCCUGGACAUUUCCUGACACUGAGGCACGAAAGCUAGGGGGAGCAAACGGG
rnacentral:rRNA from 1 species